rnacentral:rRNA from 1 species
AACCUCCGCAAUGUGAGAAAUCGCGACGGGGGGAUCCCAAGUGCCAUUCUUAACGGGAUGGCUUUUCAUUAGUGUAAAGAGCUUUUGGAAUAAGAGCUGGGCAAGACCGGUGCCAGCCGCCGCGGUAACACCGGCAGCUCUAGUGGUAGCAAUUUUUAUUGGGCCUAAAGCGUCCGUAGCCGGUUUAAUAAGUCUCUGGUGAAAUCCUGUAGCUUAACUAUGGGAAUUGCUGGAGAUACUAUUAGACUUGAGACCGGGAGAGGUUAGAGGUACUCCCAGGGUAGAGGUGAAAUUCUGUAAUCCUGGGAGGACCGCCUGUUGCGAAGGCGUCUAACUGGAACGGUUCUGACGGUGAGGGACGAAAGUUAGGGGCGCGAACCGGAUUAGAUACCCGGGUAGUCCUAACUGUAAACGAUGCGGACUUGGUGUUGGGGUGGCUUUGAGCUGCUCCAGUGCCGAAGGGAAGCUGUUAAGUCCGCCGCCUGGGAAGUACGGUCGCAAGACUAAAACUUAAAGGAAUU